GAUGAACGCUGGCGGCGUGCCUAAUACAUGCAAGUCGAGCGAACAGACGAGGAGCUUGCUCCUCUGACGUUAGCGGCGGACGGGUGAGUAACACGUGGAUAACCUACCUAUAAGACUGGGAUAACUUCGGGAAACCGGAGCUAAUACCGGAUAAUAUAUUGAACCGCAUGGUUCAAUAGUGAAAGACGGUUUUGCUGUCACUUAUAGAUGGAUCCGCGCCGCAUUAGCUAGUUGGUAAGGUAACGGCUUACCAAGGCAACGAUGCGUAGCCGACCUGGGAGGGUGAUCGGCCACACUGGAACGGAGACACGGUCCAGACUCCUACGGGAGGCAGCAGUAGGGAAUCUUCCGCAAUGGGCGAAAGCCUGACGGAGCAACGCCGCGUGAGUGAUGAAGGUCUUCGGAUCGUAAAACUCUGUUAUUAGGGAAGAACAAAUGUGUAAGUAACUAUGCACGUCUUGACGGUACCUAAUCAGAAAGCCACGGCUAACUACGUG
rnacentral:rRNA from 1 species